rnacentral:rRNA from 1 species
CAUGCAAGUCGAGCGAAGCGCUUAAGUUUGAUUCUUCGGAUGAAGACUUUUGUGACUGAGCGGCGGACGGGUGAGUAACGCGUGGGUAACCUGCCUCAUACAGGGGGAUAACAGUUAGAAAUGGCUGCUAAUACCGCAUAAGACCACAGUACUGCAUGGUACAGUGGUAAAAACUCCGGUGGUAUGAGAUGGACCCGCGUCUGAUUAGGUAGUUGGUGAGGUAACGGCCCACCAAGCCGACGAUCAGUAGCCGACCUGAGAGGGUGACCGGCCACAUUGGGACUGAGACACGGCCCAGACUCCUACGGGAGGCAGCAGUGGGGAAUAUUGCACAAUGGGCGAAAGCCUGAUGCAGCGACGCCGCGUGAAGGAUGAAGUAUUUCGGUAUGUAAACUUCUAUCAGCAGGGAAGAAAAUGACGGUACCUGACUAAGAAGCCCCGGCUAACUACGUGCCAGCAGCCGCGGUAAUACGUAGGGGGCAAGCGUUAUCCGGAUUUACUGGGUGUAAAGGGAGCGUACACGGCUGUGCAAGUCUGAAGUGAAAGGCAUGGGCUCAACCUGUGGACUGCUUUGGAAACUGUGCAGCUAGAGUGUCGGAGAGGUAAGUGGAAUUCCUAGUGUAGCGGUGAAAUGCGUAGAUAUUAGGAGGAACACCAGUGGCGAAGGCGGCUUACUGGACGAUGA